CGAGAAAGCGCCUUCGGGUGUGAGUAAAGUGGCGGACGGGUGAGUAACGCGUAGGAAUCUGCCUAGCAGUGGGGGACAACUCGGGGAAACUCGAGCUAAUACCGCAUAACAUCUACGGAUCAAAGUGGGGGAUCUUCGGACCUCACGCUGUUAGAGGAGCCUGCGUUGGAUUAGCUUGUUGGUGGGGUAAUGGCCUACCAAGGCGACGAUCCAUAGCUGGUCUGAGAGGACGAUCAGCCACACUGGAACUGAGACACGGUCCAGACUCCUACGGGAGGCAGCAGUAGGGAAUCUUGGGCAAUGGGCGAAAGCCUGACCCAGCGAUGCCGCGUGUGUGAAGAAGGCCUUCGGGUUGUAAAGCACUUUCAGCAGCGAAGAAAGGUCGGGAGUUAAUAGCUCCCAGGCUUUGACGUUAACUGCAGAAGAAGUACCGGCUAACUCCGUGCCAGCAGCCGCGGUAAUACGGAGGGUACGAACGUUAAUCGGAAUUACUGGGCGUAAAGCGCGCGUAGGCGGUUCGGCAAGUGGGAUGUGAAAGCCCCGGGCUUAACCUGGGAACUGCAUUCCAAACUGCCGGGCUAGAGUAUGGUAGAGGGAGGUAGAAUUUCCUGUGUAGCGGUGAAAUGCGUAGAUAUAGGAAGGAAUACCGGUGGCGAAGGCGGCCUCCUGGACCAAUACUGACGCUGAGGUGCGA
rnacentral:rRNA from 1 species